rnacentral:rRNA from 1 species
UACAUGGGGGUGCAAACGUUGCUCGGAAUUAUUGGGCGUAAAGCGCACGUAGGCGGUUCGUUAAGUCGGAUGUGAAAGCCCUCGGCUCAACUGAGGAAGUGCACCCGAAACUGGCGAGCUUGAGUACGAAAGAGGAUCGCGGAAUUCCCGGUGUAGAGGUGAAAUUCGUAGAUAUCGGGGAGGAACACCGGUGGCGAAGGCGGCGAUCUGGGUCGAUACUGACGCGUGAGGUGGCGAAAAGCGUGGGGGAGCAAACAGG